rnacentral:rRNA from 1 species
AUUGAACGCUGGCGGCAUGCCUUACACAUGCAAGUCGAACGGCAGCACGGGAGCAAUCCUGGUGGCGAGUGGCGAACGGGUGAGUAAUACAUCGGAACGUGCCCAAUCGUGGGGGAUAACGCAGCGAAAGCUGUGCUAAUACCGCAUACGAUCUACGGAUGAAAGCAGGGGAUCGCAAGACCUUGCGCGAAUGGAGCGGCCGAUGGCAGAUUAGGUAGUUGGCGAGGUAAAGGCUCACCAAGCCGUCGAUCUGUAGCUGGUCUGAGAGGACGACCAGCCACACUGGGACUGAGACACGGCCCAGACUCCUACGGGAGGCAGCAGUGGGGAAUUUUGGACAAUGGGCGAAAGCCUGAUCCAGCCAUGCCGCGUGCAGGAUGAAGGCCUUCGGGUUGUAAACUGCUUUUGUACGGAACGAAACGGCCUUUUCUAAUAAAGAGGGCUAAUGACGGUACCGUAAGAAUAAGCACCGGCUAACUACGUGCCAGCAGCCGCGGUAAUACGUAGGGUGCAAGCGUUAAUCGGAAUUACUGGGCGUAAAGCGUGCGCAGGCGGUUAUGUAAGACAGUUGUGAAAUCCCCGGGCUCAACCUGGGAACUGCAUCUGUGACUGCAUAGCUAGAGUACGGUAGAGGGGGAUGGAAUUCCGCGUGUAGCAGUGAAAUGCGUAGAUAUGCGGAGGAACACCGAUGGCGAAAGCAAUCCCCCUGGACCUGUACUGACGCUCAUGCACGAAAGCGUGGGGAGCAAACAG